UUGACAGCCCUGGAACCUGAUGUCCUAAUUAUCCGCAGAACAGGUGCACAUGGGCAUUUUCCUGCCAACGUGACUCAGCCUGGAGAUGGAAAACCCUAUUCUCAGAUUAGAUGGUAGUUCAAUAUAAAACCAUCUCAAACUGUAGGCAUU
ensembl:misc_RNA